GGGCUCAUGGUCUAGUGGUUAUGACGUCUCCCUCACACGGAGGAGGUCGCCGGUUCGAAUCCGGCUGAGCCCA
rnacentral:tRNA from 1 species